UUCCUUAAGGUGUUUCAGUUGAUGCUUUAUCAAGAUGGAAAUGGCGAGAACCCCGCUGUUGGUACUGUUAUUCUUCAUGCACCAGUCAUCAGCUGAGACCCACUGUUUCUGGUCAUCAUACGACGCGUACGGUCGUUGUAUUGACUGUCACAGAGGCUGGUAUGGGGGCUACUGCAGCUACAAAUGUCCCGGCAACUGCGACAUCGGCGGCUGUCACAGGGACACCGGGAUAUGAGUACAGUGUGACGCCGGCUACCACGCCACCAACUGUACAGUAACUUGUCCCCCCAACUGUAGAUACAGUCACGGUGACAAGCCAUACUGUAGC